rnacentral:rRNA from 1 species
GACGAACGCUGGCGGCGUGCUUAACACAUGCAAGUCGAACGGAAAGGCCCUGCUUUUGUGGGGUGCUCGAGUGGCGAACGGGUGAGUAACACGUGAGUAGCCUGCCCUUGACUUUGGGAUAACUUCAGGAAACUGGGGCUAAUACCGGAUAGGAGCUCCUGCUGCAUGGUGGGGGUUGGAAAGUUUCGGCGGUUGGGGAUGGACUCGCGGCUUAUCAGCUUGUUGGUGGGGUAGUGGCUUACCAAGGCUUUGACGGGUAGCCGGCCUGAGAGGGUGACCGGCCACAUUGGGACUGAGAUACGGCCCAGACUCCUACGGGAGGCAGCAGUGGGGAAUAUUGCACAAUGGGCGGAAGCCUGAUGCAGCAACGCCGCGUGCGGGAUGACGGCCUUCGGGUUGUAAACCGCUUUCACCUGUGACGAAGCGUGAGUGACGGUAAUGGGUAAAGAAGCACCGGCUAACUACGUGCCAGCAGCCGCGGUGAUACGUAGGGUGCGAGCGUUGUCCGGAUUUAUUGGGCGUAAAGGGCUCGUAGGUGGUUGAUCGCGUCGGAAGUGUAAUCUUGGGGCUUAACCCUGAGCGUGCUUUCGAUACGGGUUGACUUGAGGAAGGUAGGGGAGAAUGGAAUUCCUGGCGGAGCGGUGGAAUGCGCAGAUAUCAGGAGGAACACCAGUGGCGAAGGCGGUUCUCUGGGCCUUUCCUGACGCUGAGGAGCGAAAGCGUGGGGAGCGAACAGGCUUAGAUACCCUGGUAGUCCACGCUGUAAACGGUGGGUACUAGGUGUGGGGUCCAUUCCACGGGUUCCGUGCCGUAGCUAACGCUUUAAGUACCCCGCCUGGGGAGUACGGCCGCAAGGCUAAAACUCAAAGGAAUUGACGGGGCCCCGCACAAGCGGCGGAGCAUGCGGAUUAAUUCGAUGCAACGCGUAGAACCUUACCUGGGUUUGACAUGGAUCGGGAGUGCUCAGAGAUGGGUGUGCCUCUUUUGGGGUCGGUUCACAGGUGGUGCAUGGCUGUCGUCAGCUCGUGUCGUGAGAUGUUGGGUUAAGUCCCGCAACGAGCGCAACCCUUGUUCACUGUUGCCAGCACGUUAUGGUGGGGACUCAGUGGAGACCGCCGGGGUCAACUCGGAGGAAGGUGGGGAUGACGUCAAGUCAUCAUGCCCCUUAUGUCCAGGGCUUCACGCAUGCUACAAUGGCUGGUACAGAGAGUGGCGAGCCUGUGAGGGUGAGCGAAUCUCGGAAAGCCGGUCUCAGUUCGGAUUGGGGUCUGCAACUCGACCUCAUGAAGUCGGAGUCGCUAGUAAUCGCAGAUCAGCAACGCUGCGGUGAAUACGUUCCCGGGGCUUGUACACACCGCCCGUCAAGUCAUGAAAGUUGGUAACACCCGAAGCCGGUGGCCUAACCGUUGUGGGGGAGCCGUCGAAGGUGGGACUGGUGAUUAGGACUAAGUCGUAACAAGGUAGCCGUACCGGAAGG